GUUCAAUUUAUUCAACAUAACCCAAAAUUUUAGAAUGUGUACCAAGUUUGUAAUGUUUACUGAAGAAUUAUUUCUAGGUUUUGAGACUUUGUUCUACUUUUACAAGGCUGCGGUAUGGGCAGGAAAAGGUGAAAUAUCCUGCACUGUUGAUUCUGCUAGAAUGCUGCACAAUAAAUAUUUGUGCAGCAAACAUUUCCUGGAAAGUGAUUUCACUACAGCUCAGAUGCUGCUUCACAGUCACUCCCACAAUCUCCUGUCCCUUCCUUGAAUCCCUUGCCACAUGAAGACUGUACUCAGGUUGUAUUUCCCACCACCUACAAGACACUGGUGUCAUUCCCUGUAACACAUAUUCCUAUCCAUGCACAUGGUCCUUCCACUUCCUUUAAAAUGUUUGCAGUGCAACAAUUACCAACAGCAGCCACCAACUUUUGCAGUGAUAGAAACCUCGUUUCUCCUAAGCCCUGUAAAUAUAAAUGCUUCUGAUGGCGAACUCAGGCAUAUCAAUUAUUGCAGCAAGCCACAACACUGUAUUGGCUACAGUGGGGUGUUGUGGUGAAUACCUGGCAACAGCUGUUUGGUGAUCACCUUGUGAACACAUGUGAAGCUAUUCGUUUGUAGUCUGGUUUGAACAAUAAUCCAACCAUGGGACAGAUUGUAGAUGCCCUGAAGACUUAACAUCAUCAGUUCCUUUGCUAUCAGAGGUCUCUGUGGAACUAGUUGUGAGGAUGAUGGUGCUACUGUUGUGUGCAACCUACAGUCAUUGUUCAGGGCACCUGAUGCUUCUUCACCAAAUCUGUCCACAAGUCGUGGCAAGGAAACCCCUGAUGAAGUUCCUGAGUUUCCAUGUUACUCAACAAGUACAGAAGGACAUGGUUGCUGCAGUACAUGCUGGUGACAUGGAAGUGGUUCCAUUGCCAGACAGGUGCUUCGUGGUGUCAGCUGUGAUGCACGCAAGACAUGCGUGACAUCUGAAGUGCUGCUGUCAGCCAAUGUCUUCAUAUAUUUCUGAGACGUUGGUGUGGAGACUGUUGGUAUGCUGUAACUGUAAUGGAAUCUAUGAUGGCAGGCAAUUCAAUUCAUGUUGCACCAUAUCACAGCUGCCAUUAAGAGCACCAUUGACUUGGAGUGGAUUAGGUGUGCUGGUUGUUCACUUCACUACCAAUGAAUAGUAGAUGGUAUUGUGAGAUGUCUCACAAGAAUUUACAUUCCUUGGUGGUGUAAG